AAAAGUGUCUAAUUACGUAAUA
rnacentral:snRNA from 1 species